UAUUAUUCGCUGCUGAUGGCUCUUUGCCUC
rnacentral:piRNA from 1 species